rnacentral:sRNA from 1 species
GCCUAGCCCCGAUAGCAGCGGCAUCCUUUUGUUGCUUUCUUUAAGCAACAAAAGAUAUAGCGGAUAGCGGGAAACAGC